rnacentral:rRNA from 1 species
GAUGAACGCUAGCUACAGGCUUAACACAUGCAAGUCGAGGGGAAACGAUAGAGAAAGCUUGCUUUUUCUAGGCGUCGACCGGCGCACGGGUGAGUAACGCGUAUCCAACCUGCCCACCACUUGGGGAUAACCUUGCGAAAGUAAGACUAAUACCCAAUGAUAUCUCAAGAAGACAUCUGAAUGAGAUUAAAGAUUUAUCGGUGAUGGAUGGGGAUGCGUCUGAUUAGCUUGUUGGCGGGGUAACGGCCCACCAAGGCGACGAUCAGUAGGGGUUCUGAGAGGAAGGUCCCCCACAUUGGAACUGAGACACGGUCCAAACUCCUACGGGAGGCAGCAGUGAGGGAUAUUGGUCAAUGGGCGAGAGCCUGAACCAGCCAAGUAGCGUGCAGGAUGACGGCCCUAUGGGUUGUAAACUGCUUUUAUAAGGGAAUAAAGUGAGUCUCGUGAGACUUUUUGCAUGUACCUUAUGAAUAAGGACCGGCUAAUUCCGUGCCAGCAGCCGCAGUAA